rnacentral:lncRNA from 1 species
GGAUCGCCUGGGAAACUUUCAAAACAGAAUCCCCACCUCCGACUGGCACUGAAGAUUCUAAUGGAUGCUCUGAACAAUUAGAGGGCCUCUUCAGCUGCUUUUUCAGUUUGAAGUUAUGAUUGGAGGAGACCUCGAAAUUCAGCUGUGUGCAGUAUUUACAGGUAUCAACUGGUCAUGUUCUUCCCAACGUGUAUUCUGGUUUAGGGUAAAAUGGAUCCCAGUGGAGUCUGAGAGAAUGGAUCAGUUCAACCCCUCUAAGAGCUUGACCUCUAAGCAUAGAGGUGGAGCCGACUGCUUUCCCAUCCAUCAGUUCUCUUUCAACCUGAUGUGGAGAUGAUGACAAAAAGAAUGGACUUUAACAAGAAGUAUUUAACAUUCAAAGCCAGCCUCCUGACUUGACACUAUCCUCCUAGAUUUGGAGGCUUUUUGUUUUCAUAUCUUCAGUGACACCUAGGAAAGUGCUUAACAUGUAUGUAAUGCUUAAUAAAGAUUUGCUUAAAAUUUUUUUGUUUUUAGUGUGGUAAAAUAUACAUAACAUAAAUUUACCAUUUUAAUCAUUUUAAGUGUACUAUUUAGGGGUAUUAAGUACACUCACAAUGUUGUACAACCAUUACCACUAGCCAUUUCCAGAGCUUUUUCAUCAUCGCAAACAGAAACUUUGUACACGUUACACAAUAGCUCCCCCUUCUCCCUCCAGCCCUGGUAAUCUCUAGUCUACUUUCCGUCUCUAUGAGUUUGCCUCUUGUAGGUACUUUAUACAAGUG